AUCAAAUUAUUAUCUUUAAUUAUGUUUCGUCUGUGCCUCGCCUGUGCCAAGUCCGUUCGACCACGUCAGGAAGCCUUGCAGUGCCACGGUUGUAGUGGAUGGCAGCAUCACAUCUGCACUCCCGUAUGCUGAGCAGGAGAUGUCAAGUUUGACUUUCUUGAAGACCGUCGGCAAGAUCUACUGCCCAGCGAAGGUCCGACCAACACCAGACGACGAAUGAGGAGUAUACCAACAACUCCGCAACGACCAGUUAUUCCAGUGACGACAAGAUUAUCACUAGUCGUAACAAGGCCAGGCCAACUACACCCAGGCAGGUCACACAAAAAAAAACAAAAAACAUUUUAGUUCUUGAAAGAGGAGGCCUCCACGUGGCAAGAACUGGUAACGGUAUACAUCGUUUAAGUGCAUGCAUAAACAUGCGACGAAAUGAUAUAUACCGGCUGACAUCCUCUUAUAACUUUCCAUAUGCAAUAAAUUGUUACGGCAGGGGAAGUAACCGCAAUACAAUAUACAUUUUAGUUCUUGCUAGUUACCUCCCCUAUUAAUAAAGCAGGAAGUGAUUUCAAAACAAUAAAAUUAUAAAAUAUUAGCUCAAUUAUUAAUAACAUUCAUUACAUGUUACAGUAUAGCCAGUCACACUAUUAUAUACUAUAGAUAGAGG